AAGAAACGAGAGGCAUAACCAUCCUAGCUGGUGAGAUCAACUCCCUACCCAUCUAUCUAUUUGGUGCAUCAUAUCUGUUGUAUUAGGUAUUGUGCACAACUAGAACAUGUGUAACACAAUAAAUAAAGGAUAGACAUAUAGGAAACUUACCCUAAUCCCCGCUGAAAACUGAGCUUGCCACCCAUCAUAGUACUGGGAAUCACCAAAAUGAAACAAUAUGAAUAAUGAGGUAAUAACAUAAGUGGAGUAUCCUCAUCUGUUUAUGGAGAAGAUUGAAGGUAUCCAA